rnacentral:rRNA from 1 species
UUUUAUGGGGCCACCGAGCGCAGCUACCAUGCAGUCGAGCGGUAACAGGAAAAGCUUGCUUUCUUGCUGACGAGCGGCGGACGGGUGAGUAAUGUAUGGGGAUCUGCCCGAUAGAGGGGGAUAACUACUGUGGAAACGGUGGCUAAUACCGCAUAUAUAUAAAUAAAUAAGUCACGGACCAAAGCAGGGGCUCUCGGACAGGGGCUCUUCGGACCUUGCACCUAUCGGAUGAACCCAUAUGGGAUUAGCUAGUAGGUGGGGUAAAGGCUCACCUAGGCGACGAUCUCUAGCUGGUCUGAGGGAUGAUCAGCCACACUGGGACUGAGACACGGCCCAGACUCCUACGGGGAGGCAGCAGUGGGGGAAUAUUGCACCUGGGAUUGCACAAUGGGCGCAAGCCUGAUGCAGCCAUGCCGCGUGUAGAAGAUGGCCUUAGGUUGUAAAGUACUUUCAGCGGGAGGAAGGUGAUGAAGGUGGAUAAGGUUAAUACCUUGUCAAUUGACGUUCCCCGCAGAAGAAGCACCGGCUAAAUCCGUGCCAGCAGCCGCGGUAAUACGGAAGGUGCAAGCCUUAAUCGGAAUUACUGGGCGUAGACCCCCCCGCAGGCGGUCAAUUAAGUCAAAUGUUUAAAACUUUUGACCUUAACUUGGGGAAUUGCCCUCUGAAACUGGGUUUGACUAGAUUUCUUGUCAAAAGGGGGGGGAGAAUUCCAACCUGAACCUCUAAAACGCCUUCAUUACGGCGGGAACCCCGGGGGGGAAUGGAAGCCUGUUUUGGCCCCAAAACUCUUUUCCCCACGGGGAACAAACCGUUUUGUGGGCCCAAGGGGCCCCCUUUCCCCGCGGAGUUUCUCCCCCCUAUACUCUACCCCUUUUUUCCCCGGUUGCUGGGUGGUAAUUUCCCCCCCCCCUUCAAGAAAAAUUCUGUCCAAACAACAAUUUUCCAGAGGGGGUUUCCCAGGGUUAGGCUGGGGGGGGGGCUUUCAAAUUAAAAAUUAGGUCGGCCCCCCCGGGGUGGGGUGUUUUACGCCCCAAUUUUAUUUUUGUAUUUUGAAAAAAAACGGCGGACACCCCCCCCCUUAUUUUUACCGCGUGCCCGGUCGGGGCCCAAAUAUUUUUUAGAGGGGGUGAUUUUUUUUCUGCGGCGUAGUAGAACACAAUAUAAGUUAAGAAGAAGGAGGGGAUUUUACAAAUAUUCAUUAAAUUCCUUUCUCCCCCCUCGGGGGGGAUGGAGAAAAAGAAAAUUUUUUAUAUGUGUAUCCAGCCAGCCGGGACGAGGGCGCAUCUCUACUGUAUCUAUAUCCAACAGCACCCGCUUGAUGGAAGUGUUAGCUGUUGUGGUUUAGGGCAUGUAUAGCAGACGGAGUACCGA